UCCAGAUUUUGAUCAUUGUUCUGCGGUUAUGUAAGAGAAUGUACUUGUUCUUAGGAAAUACACGGUGAAUUAUUUAGGGGUAAAGGAACACAAUAUGGGGAACUUGCUCU